AGCCUUUUAGUUUAUUUUUAAAAUUUUUAUUUGUGGUUUAAAAGAAUUUAGGCUU
rnacentral:tRNA from 1 species